rnacentral:rRNA from 1 species
GAGUUUGAUCUUGGCUCAGAACGAACGCUGGCGGCAGACCUAACACAUGCAAGUCGAACGCUCUUUAUGGGAGUGGCGCACGGGUGAGUAACGCGUGGGAAUGUACCUUUCAGUAUGGAAUAACAGUUGGAAACGACUGCUAAUACCGUAUACGCCCUUAGGGGGAAAGAUUUAUCGCUGAAAGAUCAGCCCGCGUCAGAUUAGCUAGUUGGUGAGGUAAUGGCUCACCAAGGCCUUGAUCUGUAGCUGGUCUGAGAGGAUGAUCAGCCACACUGGGACUGAGACACGGCCCAGACUCCUACGGGAGGCAGCAGUGGGGAAUAUUGGACAAUGGAGGAAACUCUGAUCCAGCCAUGCCGCGUGAGUGAUGAAGGCCUUAGGGUUGUAAAACUCUUUCAGCGGGGAAGAUGAUGACGGUACCCGCAGAAGAAGCUCCGGCUAACUUCGUGCCAGCAGCCGCGGUAAUACGAAGGGGGCUAGCGUUGUUCGGAAUCACUGGGCGUAAAGCGGGCGCAGGUGGCCUAUCAAGUCAGGGGUGAAAUCCCAGAACUCAACUCUGGAAUUGCCUCUGAAACUGGUAGGCUUGAGUAUUGGAGGGGAUAGCGGAAUUCCUAAUGUAGUGGUGAAAUACGUAGAUAUUAGGAGGAACACCGGUGGCGAAGGCGGCUAUCUGGACAAUUACUGACACUGAGGCCCGAAAGCGUGGGGAGCAAACAGGAUUAGAUACCCUGGUAGUCCACGCCGUAAACGAUGAGUGCUAGCCGUUGGGGGGUUACCCUUCAGUGGCGCAGUUAACGCAUUAAGCACUCCGCCUGGGGAGUACGGUCGCAAGAUUAAAACUCAAAGGAAUUGACGGGGACCCGCACAAGCGGUGGAACAUGUGGUUUAAUUCGAGGCAACGCGAAGAACCUUACCAGGGCUUGACUUGCCCGUCGCGGACUCCCGAAAAGGAGUCCUUCAGUUCGGCUGGACGGUGCACAGGUGCUGCAUGGCUGUCGUCGGCUCGUGUCGUGAGAUGUUGGGUUAAGUCCCGCAACGAGCGCAACCCUCAUCCUCUGUUGCUAACAGGUAAUGCUGAGAACUCUGAGGAAACUGCCCGUGAUAAGCGGGAGGAAGGUGGGGAUGACGUCAAGUCCUCAUGGCCCUUACGCCCUGGCUACACACGUGUUACAAUGGCAGUUACAGUGGGCUGCAAACUCGCGAGAGUGAGCUAAUCUCCAAAAACUGCCUCAGUUCGGAUUGUUCUCUGCAACUCGAGAGCAUGAAGUCGGAAUCGCUAGUAAUCGUAGAUCAGCAUGCUACGGUGAGUACGUUCCCGGGUCUUGUACACACCGCCCGUCACACCAUGGGAGUCGGUUCUGCCUUAAGCCGCUGGGCUAACCUUUUAGGAGGCAAGCGUCCACGGCAGGGUCGGCGACUGGGGUGAAGUCGUAACAAGGUAACCGUA